UUUAUAAGUACCGCACCGCAUGCUUUACCGCCAUUAAUUUCGUUGGAUCUUUCCGAGAAUGUUGUAUAGGUAUUGCGUUAGGUAACAGUUAGCAUAUAACACGGAUUAAAAUAUCUUGUUUUUCAAAGGUUUAAGUGAUUGCAUAGACAUGUGACUACAGCUUAGUAAUUGUUAAAUUUAUAAAGGAAUCGAUCAAUCACGUCAGCUCCUUCAAGGCAUCCAUUUUGUUUUGUGUCGUUAAGAUACUGCUUUGCUUGUGUGCUGUGACCCUAUUUAAUGAUAAUGUUGUAAUAAUUAUGUCAUUUUCUAGGGCAGUGAUACAAAUUUUGUGAUCUCUGAUUUUGAUGUUCAAAUUACUUUGCCCAUGCCCUAGAUAAUUCCUAUGGACUGGAUUCCAAGUAAAGAUGUUCUUAAACCAUCAUAAUUAUGUUAAGCUCUAUCAUUGUAUUAUGAAAACCUCUCUGUUUAAUUGUUUUUUUUAACCUACUUCCAUGCUUACUUUGUUUUAGUAGGAAAGUAUUCUGAACAUCUCUGGAAUCUUGUUUCUGUGAUUGGUUCCAUAGUUGUGUUGAAUCAGACACAAUUUUUAUCAUAGUUAUGGUCCAUAUAGGUGCCAAUCAGUGAGUGUAAGCAAAUAAUUUAAGAGUUAUAUUCAGUAUGACUAAUUUUGACAGUUACUGCCAUAAAAAUGUAUUUAAUAAGCAGUUUCCAAUUUCUAAAUAUAGCUUUAUGAGCGAGGAAUCUUGUGAGAAUCACUGAUCAUUGAGCCCCUGGGCUGGUCUGGGUUUGCCUGCUGUUCCUUUCCUGCGUGCCAUCAUUGAGUGGUUUACUUGUGGAUGACAAAAGUGAGAUAAUUUCAUGAAUGUUAGGUAUGUCUGAUAGUUAAAAUUUUCUACCAUUUGUUGUAAUGUGUUUUGAAAUGUCAAUUCCAUUGUGAGGUAAAGCAGCUUUAAUGGUCUGUUAUAUGGCUUUGAAUGGUGGAGUAGUGUUGCGUGCAGCUGGCUUCCGUUGGUAUGUAUUUUGCAGUUCAUCUUUAUUUUUCAGGUUCACUAUCAUAAUCACAAGGAUGCAUUGAAGCAAGUAAUGUUCUUCAAUUAAACUCAAUGGUUCAUUUGUAACUGAAUAUUUUAUUUAACAGAAGCCCUUUUUAAGAAUCUUACAGAAUUUGUCAUCACCCGCCUGUUCAGCUGUAAUUUGAUUUGCAAUCGGUAUGACCUGUCGAAAGUUAUUUGGCAAUGUGCCCUGUGAGGUAUCUUUAGUUGGUGUUUUGCACAACAUCCAAGUCGCUCCCCUGCCUAAGAAGACAACUUAGUCCAUCAAGGAUUAUUUCUCUUGAGCGGUUACAUUGAAUGCUAGGGAAGGCUUUAUGCUGGCUGUUGGUGUACUGGUGUUGGUGUGUGGUUGUAUGACUGGCUAUACAACCAGUGCGUUAUUUCUCUCGUCCAGCUCCGUACAUCGUGUAUCUGGAACAGGUAAGGCUGGUGAAUAUCUCACUUCUAACGGUUUGUGUAAAUGUUUUAUUUAGAAAUUAAUCAAAGUUUACGAGGAUACAAAUGCUUUGUUCGCCGCGCCGAAGAAUGGAACAUUGACGUUCAAUGAAAAUAAACGACAUUUGGGUAUGUUAUAGUGGAUUAGUACGAUUUUCCAAAUUCAUAUUUGUCACCUAAACCAGCUUAUUUAUAAUAUGUAAAAAUAUUUGAAUUAUUCUUGAUUCUUACUACUUUGAAUAUUAGAUGUGAUCGUCAAUGUGUAGGAUUCUAAGGACGUUUUAUUGAAAUUUUCUCGCACAGUUAAGGACUAUUUCAUACGUUCAUCAUAUUUGCCGCUGUAAUGAAAGGUUAUUGAUUGCAGAAUUGCAAUAAAAAACCAAUAACCUUCCAAAUAAAAUAGUGGAAGUCGAUAAUUGGAUGUUUUUGACCAUUAUUCUUUAUCUUCACCAAAAUGUACGUUAAAAUAAAAAAAAAACCUGGUCUUGCUGUAAACAUGGAUAUCACUUACUAAAUUGUAGACAAAAUGCUUGUUGCCGUCUUAACUGUUUCAGGAAUUCUUAGGGUUUUGUAAGACCUGACGGCGAAAUCAUCCGCGACAACGGAGUGGGAAUGAUUUAGGCAAACGAUAUCCGCAGUCCGUACUCGUUAUAGGACACAUCAUUGACCAGAUUUAGAUGGGAGACAUUAAGAACAGUGGAUUCAGUAAAGACUUUUGAAAUUGAAAUAUUAAUCAGCUUUGUCGUCUCGUGAAAAUCUCUUAAACUCGUCUUUUAAGAAAAGUUCACGUGACGACUGGUUGACCAGUCCCUAAAUACACAUGCACACUUGUUGGAAAUAAUGGGUGCAGUUGUUUUUCGUCGAAUAAAUUAUACAUUGUUACUGUGCAGCUAGGUGAGUUGUUGUUGCUCUUCCUUGUAAAUCUACCCCUUUUUGCUCAAUUGUUAAUCUAAUUCUAUCUGCCAUUUCUUGAAAUUAAACAUUCAGAAGUUGUAGUAUACAUUCUUAAAUUGUUAAGAUCAAUUCAGAGUGGUAUCAUAAAGUAUGGCUGUAGGAAAUGGUACGUAGGCUUCUAAAAGUGAAGAAAAGCUAUGACGUCUUUGGUAGGCGGAAAAGGUACGGCUUUAAGAAUAGAAUCUUUCGUUUGCUUUUCCCAAUGAAUCUGUGCCUGGAACUGGCAGUGGAAGAUGGCGUUUAGCUGUGUCACAAAAUCUUUAUUCUUGAAACCCAGAGGUGUUCUUCACUUUCCAGGGGGACUGAUUGAUGAUAAUUGUUGGUUAAACUAUGAAGAAUACCAAUACAUGGAUAAGUGGAGGGUUAUAAAAGUAUAAAAUUGUAAUUUCUCAUGGAAUUUUCAUUCACGCAUACGCGACAGUUCGUGAGCAGACGAACGAGUAAGAGGCUUGCAGUAUAGCUGCAUCCAGUCAGAUACUAGUAGAACUCGAAACAUUGUUUUGACAAGUACUCUCAUAUUUCGGUUGCAGGUUUUCAUUAAAUACCAAGAGGAAAAACUAGAUGGCGUUGACGUGCGUCUAUGAUAAAUAUUACGAGUGACAAGUUAAAUUGGUGUUUGUUACGUCUCUACCUUGUUCAGUGUUUCAAAGGGUUUUUCAUCAAAUAUUAAUGGGUUUCGCCUUGUCAGCUGCUGAACCUUAGCCUGCAUUCCUGCUAUCAUCAAUGUUGUCAAUAUUUUAAGCCCGACUAAGCUAGGGGCACUCACCCCGUUCGCUUCCGGACAUUCCUCCUUCAUGCGAAGCUACGGGUUGAGCGCCCUUAAAACUAAGUUGGAUAAAACAAAAAAGUAAAGUACGACCACUACCAGCAGCCUUACAGUGUGCUUCAUAAAUAAGUCAACCCCUGAGAUAACAAUAUCAUUGGAAAUUGUGGUUUUGUUCUCCACUUUUAUUAUCCAUAUGCAAUUUUCGUGCUACUUUAUUACCUUCAUGGUGUGAUAUUUUAUCAUCCUGGAAGAAGGAUUCUGGAAAUUGAUGAUUUCUAAUAUACAGCUGGUUUUCAGAUAACAAGUUUAAUGUAUUUACAUAUCAGAAUGAGCUCCCAAUUUGAAGUUGUGAGUGUCUUAUCUGAUUAUAGAUUUCUACUUUGAAAACCAAACUAUUUCCUUCUACAAAUGGAUUUUGAAGUAUCAUGCAUGUGGUAUUAUGUACUCUAUGAUAUCUUUGCAAAGCCUUUAAUUGAUGUUAUACCAAAAAAAUUCCCAUGGAAGGAAGUUCUUGCAGGAUCUGUUAUCAACCGUCUAUGUUAUGCAGUAAUUGUAUCUGCAGUUUAGUUAAAACUCUAACUUAGAAAUAUACUCAGCGUAAAAUUGAUAUGAUGAAAAAUGAUAUUUGAUUGGAAGAAGUUCCUGGCUGAGACAAGAGAU